rnacentral:rRNA from 1 species
CGUUCCCCUUCGGGGGACAGAGUGACAGGUGGUGCAUGGUUGUCGUCAGCUCGUGUCGUGAGAUGUUGGGUUAAGUCCCGCAACGAGCGCAACCCUUGAUCUUAGUUGCCAGCAUUUAGUUGGGCACUCUAAGGUGACUGCCGGUGACAAACCGGAGGAAGGUGGGGAUGACGUCAAAUCAUCAUGCCCCUUAUGACCUGGGCUACACACGUGCUACAAUGGAUGGUACAAAGGGCUGCAAGACCGCGAGGUCAAGCCAAUCCCAUAAAACCAUUCUCAGUUCGGAUUGUAGGCUGCAACUCGCCUACAUGAAGCUGGAAUCGCUAGUAAUCGCGGAUCAGCAUGCCGCGGUGAAUACGUUCCCGGGCCUUGUACACACCGCCCGUCACACCACGAGAGUUUGUAACACCCGAAGUCGGUGGAGUAACCGUAAGGAGCUUAGCCGCCUCAGAGAGGUACCGUAUGUC